rnacentral:rRNA from 1 species
AUUGAACGCUGGCGGCAGGCCUAACACAUGCAAGUCGAACGGUAACAGGAAGAAGCUUGCUUCUUUGCUGACGAGUGGCGGACGGGUGAGUAAUGUCUGGAAACUGGCUGAUGGAGGGGGAUAACUACUGGAAACGGUAGCUAAUAACGCAUAACGGCGCAAGACCAAAGAGGGGGAACUUCCGGGCCCCUGGCAUUGGAUUUGGCCAGAUGGGAUUAGCUAGUAGGUGGGGGAACGGCUCACCUAGGCGACGAUCCCUAGCUGGUCUGAGAGGAUGACCAGCCACACUGGAACUGAGACACGGUCCAGACUCCUACGGGAGGCAGCAGUGGGGAAUAUUGCACAAUGGGCGCAAGCCUGAUGCAGCCAUGCCGCGUGUAUGAAGAAGGCCUUCGGGUUGUAAAGUACUUUCAGCGGGGAGGAAGGGAGUAAAGUUAAUACCUUUGCUCAUUGACGUUACCCGCAGAAGAAGCACCGGCUAACUCCGUG